rnacentral:rRNA from 1 species
UGGGGAAUAUUGCACAAUGGGCGAAAGCCUGAUGCAGCGACGCCGCGUGAGGGAUGACGGCCUUCGGGUUGUAAACCUCUUUCAGCAGGGAAGAAGCGAAAGUGACGGUACCUGCAGAAGAAGCGCCGGCUAACUACGUGCCAGCAGCCGCGGUAAUACGUAGGGCGCAAGCGUUGUCCGGAAUUAUUGGGCGUAAAGAGCUCGUAGGCGGUUAGUCGCGUCUGCUGUGAAAACUCGAGGCUCAACCUCGGGCUUGCAGUGGGUACGGGCUGACUAGAGUGCGGUAGGGGUGACUGGAAUUCCUGGUGUAGCGGUGGAAUGCGCAGAUAUCAGGAGGAACACCGAUGGCGAAGGCAGGUCACUGGACCGCAACUGACGCUGAGGAGCGAAAGCAUGGGGAGCGAACAGGAUUAGAUACCCUGGUAGUCCAUGCCGUAAACGUUGGGCACUAGGUGUGGGGUCCAUUCCACGGACUCCGUGCCGCAGCAAACGCAUUAAGUGCCCCCGCCUGGGGGAGUACGGCCGCAAGGCU